UUAGCGUUUGUGCUGCUACAGUUUCUGAGAUAUAACGAUUUUAAUUCUUACGGCCUACGCUGUAUAACACCAGUGUCUGUGGCAGUGAGUUUCAGCAGCUGUGGAGUUUUGCACUUUUAUAGAAGACUGUCCAGUUUUCUUAGGCUUGCUGCAUAUUAAGGUUUAUUAGUUUACGCUUUAGUAACACAAUUUAAUCAGCGGAAAGGUCGAUAUUUCUUUUGUUACCAGUGCAGAAACGUACACAAGGUUGCUACCUACGUGUAGAAAACUGAAUAUUCCACAGCACCUAGGCCAGGGAUCUUCAACCUGCGGCUCUAAAGCAACAUGUGGCUCUCCAGCCCCUCCACUGUGGCUCUUAUAAGACCAAGUCAUCAUAGAACUCCCACACACAUGGAGCUCUCCUGCAGUAUGCAGUGUAAUGCCCCAAACCAUCAGUGGUCAUCUUUCCAUGGAAAGCAAUUAAUGCCCUCAAAGUGAACGACUUUCCUUGGAGAACCAGGUUGGAGGGAAAUUCAUUCAGUGGAAAUUCUGUUUGGUUUGCAAG